UUUUGUAGAAUGAACCGGCGAGUUACGAUUUGAUGCAAGGUUAAGCAGUAAAUGUGGAGCCGUAGCGAAAGCGAGUCUGAAUAGGGCGUUUAGUAUUUGGUCGUAGACCCGAAACCAGGUGAUCUACCCUUGGUCAGGUUGAAGUUCAGGUAACACUGAAUGGAGGACCGAACCGACUUACGUUGAAAAGUGAGCGGAUGAACUGAGGGUAGCGGAGAAAUUCCAAUCGAACCUGGAGAUAGCUGGUUCUCUCCGAAAUAGCUUUAGGGCUAGCCUCAAGUGAUGAUUAUUGGAGGUAGAGCACUGUUUGGACGAGGGGCCCCUCUCGGGUUACCGAAUUCAGACAAACUCCGAAUGCCAAUUAAUUUAACUUGGGAGUCAGAACAUGGGUGAUAAGGUCCGUGUUCGAAAGGGAAACAGCCCAGACCACCAGCUAAGGUCCCAAAAUAUAUGUUAAGUGGAAAAGGAUGUGGCGUUGCCCAGACAACUAGGAUGUUGGCUUAGAAGCAGCCAUCAUUUAAAGAGUGCGUAAUAGCUCACUAGUCGAGUGACACUGCGCCGAAAAUGUACCGGGGCUAAACAUAUUACCGAAGCUGUGGAUUGUCCUUUGGACAAUGGUAGGAGAGCGUUCUAAGGGCGUUGAAGCAUGAUCGUAAGGACAUGUGGAGCGCUUAGAAGUGAGAAUGCCGGUGUGAGUAGCGAAAGACGGGUGAGAAUCCCGUCCACCGAUUGACUAAGGUUUCCAGAGGAAGGCUCGUCCGCUCUGGGUUAGUCGGGUCCUAAGCUGAGGCCGACAGGCGUAGGCGAUGGAUAACAGGUUGAUAUUCCUGUACCACCUAUAAUCGUUUUAAUCGAUGGGGGGACGCAGUAGGAUAGGCGAAGCGUGCGAUUGG
rnacentral:rRNA from 1 species